ACUACUUCGGCAACAGCAUCCCCAUCAACCUCAUCGUCGCCGUCGCCGCCGAGGUCGUCCUCGUCGGCGGCGCCGAGUACUACCGGAUCAUCAACGGCCUGGUCAGUCAACUGCACAAUCUACACGCCCUACUCUUACACCUUUUGGUUUUCGGUAGCACGCUUUCCAAUUUAUUAAAUGCUAUAUCUCGUACGAAAACUUUGUAUAUGAAAAUUGCUUUAAAAUAUCCUUUUCCAAAUCUAAAAUAAUUAAAACUUAAUUAGUCUUACAUUUUUUUUGUUUCCGGUAGCACGCUUUCCAAUUUGUUGAAUGGUGUAUUUCGUACGAGAACUUUUUAUAUAAAAAUUUUAAAUCCUCUUUCAAACUUAAAGUAAUUAGAACUCAAUUAAUCAAACGCUAAUAGCUUUCUCAUUUGAAGUACCCUUAAUUUAUCUUCGAUGAACUCAAACACGGGACCUUAGUUAGUCUACACUUGUUGAUUUUGCUCGCUGAUACUCACCGGAGAUUCGCCGGCGAUGGCGAUGGUGGUGCAGGAUCUGGAGGACAAGCUCCACCCAGGUGGCCCAUUCGACCCGCUGGGGCUGGCGAGCGACCCGGACCAGGCGGCGCUGCUGAAGGUGAAGGAGAUCAAGAACGGGCGGCUGGCCAUGUUCUCCAUGCUGGGGUUCUUCAUCCAGGCCUACGUCACCGGCGAGGGCCCCGUCGAGAACCUCUCCAAGCACCUCAGCGACCCCUUCGGCAACAACCUGCUCACCGUCAUCUCCGGCGCCGCCGAGAGGACGCCCAGCCUGUAAACAUCUCGCCGCCGGCGACGCUGGCUGGCCUCAAGUUAAUUUUAAUCUUACCCGGGAAGAAGAAGGGAGGAGUUUGAGAAGGGUGGAAGAAUGUGUUAAAUGUACGUGUAAAUUAUCGUCGAGUUGGGAGAUGAAUUUGAAAACCUGUUCAUUCUGAUCUUCUGAUAGGAAGGACCAAGUGUUUGGAUUUGUGGCUGAGAAAUAUUUGCUACCUGAGUAAAUUGUCUCGAAGUGGUUUUCAUCAUCGUUGACAUUGCUGAAUGGUUUCCCUGGAUUUUUUUUUUGUUUCAAUUUUGACUAUUUGCUACUACCUGAGUAAAUUGUCUCUAAUAAUGGUUUCCAUGAAUUUUGACUAGUGAGUUAAGUCGCCAUUUUCUUGAGCAGUUUUCUGGAGGUCAGUCAGCUAUAGUGUCGAUGGCAACUUAAUUUUUUUAUAUAAUUUAACAAACAGUUAAACAGAAGAGAGGAAAACUGUGUUUUGCAUACACAACUGUGACACACAAAUCAACUCUCAAACAAGUAGACAAACACAGAAUUGCAGAUUAAGGUUGUAGAAGCUCAUAGGCCUAGGCAUGUCAACAAAUUAGAGGGACAUAAAGGUGUUGAAGGCAUCAGAUCAGAACCGAAAGAGAAGGCCAUCGCAGAUGGCGAGAGCCGAGAGCCAUCUGAGAGAGCGAUCCUGCAGACUGCAGUGACUUGGGCUACAGUAGCUCCCUUUAAGCUCAACUCACUCAAAUGGGCCAAGCAGUCCAAAAAUAUCUCAUUAAUUAGGC
rnacentral:lncRNA from 1 species